rnacentral:lncRNA from 1 species
CUCUUUCAGGAUCUGGCAGUACUGGUGAAGUCCUUUCUCUGAACCAGACAACAGAAGCUGCUCUCCUAGUUCAUGGUUGCUCCUUCCCACUGGCAAACAACCUCGGAGGAAUCUGCUUUCAGGUUGAGCCUGCUGCAAGGUGGAGGUGAAGAAAUGCGCAUGCAUCCUUUUUUGCCUUCUUGUUGCAGAACUCACCAACAAGACCAUUCAGGACUGAAUUAAUUUCCAGAUCUCCUUUUGGCAGCUGGAUGAGAAAGAAAUGCCACCACAAAGGAGGGAUCGCUGAGGCGAGGCUGAAGUUGUAUUCAAAGGCAACAGCAGUGCUGUGCAUUGCAGAUGUCGUAGAAUCACCACCGUGAUCAGUCAGCCUCUUCCCUGGAGUGACUCUGAGUUCUGUGAGUAGCAUCCUGAGGGCUGAAUCUGGGCCUGCAUAC